ACAGCACUUCUGAAAGGUUGCUGACCCCUGGGUUACAUUAUAAUGGUGCUUUUUGAUUGUCAGCGUAACUUUUGUCAACAAAAGUUGGCAGUGUAGACAAGGCCUAUUUCAAGGCGGGUGGAUUUUUUGUUUUGAUUUUGAUUUUCUAUUUUGAGCUGUAAUCUGUAUCCAGGAGAUAAUUCAGAAGGUGCUGAAACUAUAUUUGAAAAGAAAACAUAGCAAACACUCGCUGGGAGGGGUGAUGGGGAUGGAAGAGGAGAUGGGAAAAGGGGUUGGGUCUGCAGCAAGGCAUGUGGGUAUUAUGGGGAUGGGGAUAAAUGGGAAUGGGUGGAAGGGGAGGAAAAAAGGGUUGGGGCCUCCUCAGGUAAGGGGAAGGAGUGGGGUGGGAGGUAUUUGAUAUGGUGAGUGUUGGCAGUAAAAGUUAUGGAUUUAGGGACAGGGAGUCCUGUCGGCCCCAUAUUCCCCCUUUUCCCAUUCUGGGAUCUGGGGGAGGGAUUUGAAUUCCUUUUUCUUCCCACUGUAUGUCCUGUGAUCUGGGAGACCCUGCUGCUCUUGGGAUGUCUAACCCCUCGUAUGAUUUGUGAUCAAGGGGGAGGACCAUGGGCAGCAAUGUGAGGAAAAUG